rnacentral:rRNA from 1 species
GGACCAUCAUGUCGGUCGUGCCUCGGUACGUACUGGUAUUGUUGGUUUCUCCCUUCUGACGAACCAUGAUGUCAUUUAUUUGGUGUUGUGGGGAAUCAGGACUGUUACUUUGAAAAAAUUAGAGUGUUUAAAGCAAGCCCAAGCUCUGUAUACAUUAGCAUGGAAUAACGAAAUAGGACGUUUGAUUCUAUUUUGUUGGUUUCUAGGAUUGACGUA